GUCAAUUACCACGCACCUAAAGGUACGUGGCUUGUAAAAGCCACAAGUUGACUAGCCUAAGUUCUUCGAGAACUACGUUACUCACAAAUAUAUAGUUACCUUGGAAUAUUUAGCCUAGUUCCAAGCUCUAAGGUAUGUGAUUAAACAAUCCUGUGUGGUAGGAAUAGUGUUGCAUACAUAAAACUGUGGAAUAACAUUGGCGAAGGCUACCUAAC
rfam:Butyrivibrio proteoclasticus B316 plasmid pCY360, complete sequence.